CGACGAUACCUCUCGCCGAUAUGAUGUGCGAACCACCCUGCCUUAUUCCUCACAAGAAAGUUACCACAGGGUAUAUAAAGCAAUUUCUCACAACCUUGACAAAUGUCACUAGUGCAAGAAUCAGAAAAAGACAGUAAAAGCAUUGAAAGCGAUCGGUUGUGCAAUUUGUAGUCGAUUUGGAUUUAAUUUCUAUGGUGUUUGAAUUUCUGAAUCUAACUUGAUUCAUCCACGUAGUAAGUGGAACAGUUAGUACAAUUGAGGUACGUUUAGAGUAAAAGAAUUAUUACAUGUAUUACUUACCUUACCACUAGUUAAAUACUUACCAAAAAUGUGUGAAUUAAAGCUUAACCUAAAACUUACCGUUGCUAUUAUAGAUAACAAUUAGUCAUCCUUCCGCGGUGAUACCUGAAAAGAAAGAAGAAGAAACACUGAAAAUGUAAGAAACGAUUAUACUUACCCUUUAUAUAUCUACUAAAUAAUUCAAUAAAUUACAGCCUUUUAGCUGCAUAGUAAGGCAACUACAAAGACGGUGUUUACUUUCGGGAACAUUUCUAAAAGGAUUUUCAUCCUAAGUUGGAUGUUGGAUAGUUACCAAAAAGUUCCUUCAGCGUACGUACCGCCCGGAAGAAGGAUUCUACUCGUCGGAGGAGAGUAAAUACCGAAGACGACCACUCGGAAGUGAGGUUUGAGAGUGGAUUUAUAUCGACCGCUAUAAUUAUUAUAGAAGAUAUUUCUGUCACCCACUAAUCGCGAGUCCCGUACAGUUUAGGUUAGAGUGAAAUAAAUUGUAUAAAUCGUUCAGGGAAAGUUAGGUCGCUAUUUCGGUUAAAAUAGUCGUUCGAAAUGUCAGACGAACAAAAUAAUUUGACAUCGAGUAAUAACGAUAGGCACUGCAAGAGGUGCAAUCGUGCCGAUGCCGAUGACGACAUGGUAUGUUGCGAUGUAUGUGAAUCGUGGAUUCACUUUCAGUGUGCUGGUGUUAGUGAAUCUAUUGCCGAACCGGAUAGAAGUUUUAAGUGCAGUAAAUGCAUGACUGAUUGGGAUGGCGAAUCGAAAUCAGCUGUUUCUUUCAAUGAGUCGUCUGUCAGCAAGAGUAGUCGAGCAUCGCAGAAAUUGCAGCUUAGUCUUCAACUUCUUGAGGAGCAGCAAAAUUUGAAGCAGAAACAAAUCGAAAUAGAACAAGAGUACUUACGGAAGCGAUAUGAAUUGCUGCUUCAGAUUGAAGAGGAAAAAGAUUCUAGCAAAUCAAGUCGGAAAAGUGGAAUCAGCGUGAAAAGAAGGUGUGAACAAAUGGAGAACUGGCUUAAUAAGGGAACACAAGUUGACAGAGCGGGACAGUCGGAGCCUAAAAUGUCUGAACAGAAGGUUACCCUGCCAGCACCAGUCGUUUGCCAGAAGAAUGAUGUUCCGGUACCAAAGCCAACGUCAUUUGCCUCGAACGUUCUUACUGUGACCAAUCCGAAUUCGCUUAAUCUCAAUCCAGGAGUUCCAGUUCCAGGUGGAAGUAUUAGUACCGAAUCGUUUGUAUCAACACCGGGCAAAACUACAGCAAAUCCGCAUUCGAUUUCUUCAGUAGUUUCUGGUAUAGUGAUCCCUGCUGAAGGUAGUUCGAUCACGUCCGCUGCUGUAAUGUCGACGAGCGUUUCGUUAAUACCCGUAUCUGUACCAACAAUUUCAACAUCGAUUCUGCCCAGCGUUACGGAUGCUCUUAUCCGUGCAGUGCCAGUCUGUUCACAUUCACGAAUAAAUACCGGAGAAGUAAUCCAAACGAUUCCGCCAAUGUCUUCAUUGCAGUUGUAUAAAAGAAACGUAACUAACUCAGGACUUGUCUCUUCUGGAAAUACAGUAUUCACUUCUACUGUGCAGCAUCCUUCGAUUUCUGGCUUGGCAGUUUCCGGAGUUCCAUGGUUACCGGAAUUUCCCGUUUUGAAUCCAGUGUCUUCAUCUCCGCUGCCCGAUAGGAGCUACCGUUCGAUUCCUGGCUUGGCCACAAUCACUUCUACUGUGCAGCAUCCUUCGAUUCCCGGUUUGGCAGUUUCCGGCGUUCCAUGGCUACCCGAAUAUCCUGUUUCGAGUUAUUAUCCACCAACAAGUGUGCCUGUUUCUGCUGUAAGACCGGCGUCAGUACCGUCUGUUGUACCAUCAUCGUUGGGAGUUUAUGGAAAUAGACACGAUGUUCCAGUUAGCGUAGGGCCGAAUAGUGCUCAGUUGGCGGCUAGGCAGGUUAUGCCGCGUGAAUUACCGAAGUUCAACGGGGAUCCUCACGAGUGGCCCAUCUUCUACAGUUCUUUUAAGAAUACAACGGAUGUUUGUGGAUACACCGACGCUGAGAAUCUAGCCAGAUUACAACGUUGCUUAGGAGGUGCCGCACUGGAAGCAGUAAGGAGUCGUCUACUUUUACCAGCGUCCGUGCCGUACGUGAUGGAUACAUUACAAAAGCUCUACGGUAGACCCGAAAUUCUGAUCAGUUCUCUUCUGAAGAAAGUACGAAACGUUCCACCGCCAAAGUCAGAAAAUCUGAGUUCCAUUGUCUGCUACGGGUUGGCGAUACAAAAUCUCGUUGAUCACAUUGUGUUGGCCGAACAACAAGCACAUUUAUCGAAUCCUAUAUUACUUCAAGAAUUAGUUGAUAAAUUGCCCGCUUCAUUGAAGAUGCAGUGGGGCACGUUCAAGCAAGCGUAUACGAACGUCAACUUGGCGACGUUCAACGGAUUUAUGUCAGGACUAGUGAAUUUAGCUUCCGAGCUUUGCAUUGAUGUAGUCUCUGUCCAAAACUAUCAACAGUCGCAGAGAACGGAAAAACAGAAACAAAAGGAAAAGCUAUUUACUCAUUCCAGCGUGCUGCCUAGUACGUCGAAAGACAGGUCAGUCGAGGAAUCUACUUCAAAAGCGUGCGCUUACUGUGGGAAAGACGACCAUCAGAUUAUAAAUUGUCGCGGUUUCAAAUCGUUAGACGUUGGAGGUCGGUGGAAGGCAGUUCGACAGAAGAACUUGUGCCGGUUGUGCUUGAUUCCGCAUCGUAAAUGGCCGUGUAGAUCGAAGAAGGAAUGUGGACAAGAUGGAUGUCGAGUUCGACAUAAUAUGCUACUACACAGUAGUCGCAAUGACGACGGAAAUGGUCAUAGGUCGGAAGAAGUCGUUCAUCAGAACCAUCAUCAUACGAAAUCCUUUUCGUUGUUUCGUUAUUUGCCAGUUACGCUGUAUGGAAACGGAAGAGAAGUAAACACCUUCGUAUUCCUAGAUGAUGGAUCGUCGUGUACACUGCUUGAAGAAGGAAUCGCUGCACAGCUUGGCAUAGAAGGAGAACCUGAUCAUCUAUGGCUGAGUUGGACCGGAAAGGUUAGCAGACAUGAAAAAACUUCAAGGAGGCUGAGUAUUAAAAUAUCCGGAGACGAACAUAAGGAAAUGUUUCAGCUGGCUAAUGUUCGUACGGUGCGUGAGCUAGGUCUUCCAAGUCAAACACUGGACUAUUCAGAGUUGUCGGAUAGAUUUCCGCAUCUUCAAGGACUUCCCGUAGCCAGCUACAUCGAUGCCAAACCUGGUAUGAUAAUCGGCUUGGAACACGUACGGCUUCUAACUAGCUUGAAGACAAGAGAAGGCUGUAGUAGUGAACCUGUAGCGUCGAAAACUCGGUUGGGAUGGUGCGUGUACGGAAGGAAUUGUGGAAAUGGAGACUCGGUUGAACAGUUACACAUCCAUUCAUGUGACGACAUGAGCAACAGCAGCCUACAUGAUGCAAUGCGGAAGUUUUUUGCGGUGGAAGAAGUAGUUUCGACGCAUCAGUUAGAAUCGGAAGAAGAUAAACGAGCACGUAGUAUUUUGGAGGUAACAACGGUACGAAAAGGAAACCGAAUGGAGACGGGUUUGCUUUGGCGAAAUGACGAGCGGAAUUUCCCGAACAGCUAUCAAAUGGCGAUCAGCAGGUUGAGAGGCUUAGAGAAACGGUUAGCAAAAGACCCCGACUUACGGAUAAAAGUCAUUGAUCAAAUCAAAAGCUACGAGCAGAAACAGUACGUUCGAAAAAUAUCGCCAGAAGAAUUAGCAAAAGUAAACACUAGGCGAACAUGGUUUCUACCGUUAGGUGUUGUGACGAAUCCCAAGAAACCAAACAAGAUUCGAAUGGUGUGGGAUGCAGCUGCGAAAGCAGGUGGAGUUGCGUUUAAUGAUAUGCUGCUCAAAGGUCCAGAUCUGCUCGUAUCGCUAGUCAACCUUUUGCUACGUUUUCGAGAAGGCAAAAUAGCAGUAUGCUCGGAUAUUCGCGAAAUGUUUCUGAGAAUUCUCAUUCGGGAAGAGGAUAAGUGGUCGCAGUGCUUUCUGUGGCGUAACAGUCCAGCAGAUGAAGUGCAGGUGUACGUAAUCAACGUCGCUAUGUUCGGAGCAACCAGCUCACCGUGUACGGCACAGUUCGUAAAGAACAGAAACGCUCUCGAAUAUGCCAAAUUAUAUCCCAGAGCAGCAGAUGCAAUCGUUUACAACCACUACGUCGACGAUUUUCUGGACAGUGUCAAUUCGGAGGAUGAAGCAGUAAAACUAAUUGAAGAAGUGCAGCUCAUCCACGCUGCAGCAGGGUUUGAAUUCGGAAAGAUAUUGUCGAACUCGUCGAAUGUGCUCGAUCGUCUGGGAGAAACCGAGUCGUUGAACAGCAAGUCGCUAGGUUUGGACAAAAAUCCUUCGUGCGAGCGAGUCUUAGGAUUGGUGUGGGUUCCGUCAACGGAUAGCUUUACCUUCGAUCGAUCAGCCGUUAAAGAUGUUCUAGGUAGCAAUAUUGUAACUCCGACAAAACGGCAAGUGCUACGAACAGUAAUGAAACUGUAUGACCCCUUGGGAUUCGUAGCACAUUUUGUGGUCCAAGGAAAAAUCCUAAUGCAAGAAAUUUGGCGUGCAGGAACUAACUGGGACGAACCGAUUUCUGAGUGCUUAAGCGAUCUUUGGAGUAGAUGGAUUGAGUUGUACGACAAGAUCGACGAAGUAAGGAUACCCCGAUGUUAUUUUGUUGGACCUAAGGAGGUGGAUGAAAUCGAGAUCCAUGUGUUCACAGAUGCCAGCGUGUCGGCAUGUGCAUGUGUAGCAUAUCUGAGGAUGUCGAAUAACGGAAGUUGCUGGUGUUCUCUAGUAGCAGCAAAAACAAAGGUUGCGCCAAUUCGUCCACUUUCAGUUCCUAGGUUGGAAAUUCAAGCGGCUAUGAUGGGAGCUCGAUUAAUGCAAACCGUAAGCUCUGCACUCACGGUCAACAUAAAAAGACGAUUCCUGUGGACAGAUUCAACGGUAGUUCUAGCCUGGCUUCGCUCCGACAGUCGUCGAUAUCCUCCGUUCGUGUCGUUUCGAGUCGGUGAAAUCCUUUCGCUUACCAGUGUUGAUGAAUGGUACUACGUGCCUUCAAAGCUCAACGUAGCUGACGAUGCCACGAAGUGGAAUACAGGAUUGUCGUUUGAUCCAGACAGCCGUUGGUUUCAAGCCCCCUCAUUUUUACCCACGAAAGAGCAGUGGCCCAAACAGUCUACUAAAGUAGAUGAAGCGGAUGCCUCCGUUGAAGAAGUUCGAGUAGUAGCAGUACACCAGGCAGUAGAGGAGAUCGUUAAUGCAGAUCGUUUUUCUAACUGGAAUCGAUUAGUAAGGGCGAUGGCUUAUGUUUAUAAAGCAAUAAAUAAAUGGAAACAAUCUGAAAGCGGUAGUUGUCUUCGGCAGGAUGAGUUCAAUAAGGCAGAGGAAGCUCUCUGGCGCCAGGCGCAAGCGCAGUCAUAUGAGGAAGAGAUUCAGGCAUUGACGAAGGGUUGCAGUGUUAGUAAACAAAGCUCGCUGAGGUCGAUGGUUCUCUAUCUGGACGAUAAAGGACUUGUUCGGAUCAAAGGCCGAAUCGGAAAUGCAUCACAUAUUCCCUACGCGACCAGGUACCCAGUAGUACUUCCCAGGAACAGCCGAAUAACCUUUCUUCUUGUGGAUGCUUUCCAUCGACGGUUUCUUCAUGCGAACAACGAAACAGUUUACAACGAAUUGCGACAGAAGUUUCACAUUCCAAAAUUGCGAACAUUCAUACGCCAAGUUGGAAGAAUUUGUCAGCACUGUAAAGUGAAGAAAGCUGUUCCGGUGCCACCGUUAAUGGGACCGCUUCCCAAAGUACGCUUAACGCCAUUUAUUCGACCAUUUACGUACGUCGGUGUCGAUUAUAUGGGACCGUUCGAGGUCAAAAUUGGACGCAGUCUGGUAAAGCGCUGGAUAUGCUUGUUCACCUGUCUCACGAUUCGGGCAGUUCAUUUGGAACUGGUGCAUAGCCUUUCAACAAUCUCUUGUGUAAUGGCAGUCAGAAGAUUUGUGUCUCGGCGGGGCGCGCCUCUUGAGAUUUUCUCCGAUAAUGGCACCAACUUCGUUGGAGCAAAUCGCCAGUUGACAGAAGAAAGGUCGAAAAUCGAGAAAAUAUCCAAGCACUGUGCCGCCACAUUCACGAACGCAGAUACGCAGUGGCAUUUUAACGUUCCUGCAGCUCCGCAUAUGGGUGGACCAUGGGAACGCAUGGUUAAAUCCGUAAAGAUUGCGAUGAAAGCUAUUUCAGACAGUCCCCGACAUCCAAGUGAUGAGGUUUUAGAAACUAUCAUGUUGGAAGCGGAAGGCAUUGUGAAUUCCCGACCACUGACCUACGUACCGUUGGAAGCAGAAGAUCAAGAGUCACUCACGCCGAAUCAUUUCCUGCUAUACAGUUCAAGCGGGAUUAAACAACCACCGAGCGAUCCUGUAGCUAAAGGAUACAUUCUACGGGAUAGUUGGAAGCUAGCGCAGCACAUCGUAGAUGAAUUCUGGCGAAGGUGGGUUCGGGAAUAUCUUCCAAUGUUAACGCGCCAGACGAAAUGGUUCGAUGCAGUUAAACCAUUAGCACCGGGCGAUCUAGUUGUCGUCGUGGAUGAACAAGCUAGAAACCGUUGGGAACGAGGACGCAUUCUCGAGACGUUUCCGGAUAAAACCGGACAAGUAAGAAGAGCGACGGUGCAGACAAACAGAGGAGUGUUUGCUAGGCCGGCGGUGAAGCUAUCCGUUCUAGAUGUCGUAAGCAGUAGCCAGAACUCGGAGCGAAUCGCUUCGGAAUCGGGGAUGAUUCACGGGUAGGGGAAUGUCGACGAUACCUCUCGCCGAUAUGAUGUGCGAACCACCCUGCCUUAUUCCUCACAAGAAAGUUACCACAGGGUAUAUAAAGCAAUUUCUCACAACCUUGACAAAUGUCACUAGUGCAAGAAUCAGAAAAAGACAGUAAAAGCAUUGAAAGCGAUCGGUUGUGCAAUUUGUAGUCGAUUUGGAUUUAAUUUCUAUGGUGUUUGAAUUUCUGAAUCUAACUUGAUUCAUCCACGUAGUAAGUGGAACAGUUAGUACAAUUGAGGUACGUUUAGAGUAAAAGAAUUAUUACAUGUAUUACUUACCUUACCACUAGUUAAAUACUUACCAAAAAUGUGUGAAUUAAAGCUUAACCUAAAACUUACCGUUGCUAUUAUAGAUAACAAUUAGUCAUCCUUCCGCGGUGAUACCUGAAAAGAAAGAAGAAGAAACACUGAAAAUCCUUUUAGCUGCAUAGUAAGGCAACUACAAAGACGGUGUUUACUUUCGGGAACACAGACACAUUUUAUGCAAACUUGUAACCGAAAAUAUUGAAACUUUUCUGGAUUAGCCGGGUAAUCGAGAGUCAUUUUGUACAUAUGCGAGAGAACAUGGAGAGAAAUGUAAUACGCAGAGCGAGGCACGUGGUUAUACGCGACCUACUGGCCUCAGCCAUUGACGUUAUAGUUUUGUUUUGCUGUGAUUUAUAUGACAAAAAAUAAAGUUGUCUUUCAUAUUUAGGGAAAUCGUGUCAGAAGUGUUGUAGUUGUAAUAUUUCUAUAACAGGCAGGAGGAUUUUGUUAUUGCUCCGGAACGUUUUGAAUUUUUUGGAAGAUCGCACCGAGUAGGUUCAACGUACAGCAUUUUUUUUUUGUUUCAAUUAUAGAUGUUUCAACCUUAAGAUCAUUCGCUUCUUCGGACCAGAAAAGCUUUCUGACCCUACCCAGUGAAAUUUAUCGACCCGCAUAAGUCCGAUCAUCGGCCCGAUUAUCGGACCGAUUGAGCACGAUAUGGGGCCGAUCGUAGCGCUUCGAUCGGCCCGUCAUCGGACAGUUCUGCACCAUUUGCAUCAACCGCGUCGACCUAAAAAAGCUUUAUGUUAACAUUAUGUAUCGCUAGAGAAACAUAGCGAAGGAAUAUCAAACAAGGCAUUUUCGAGACGGCGUCUCUCCGAUAGGGUG